rnacentral:rRNA from 1 species
AUUGAACGCUGGCGGAAUGCUUUACACAUGCAAGUCGAACGGCAGCACGGGGGCAACCCUGGUGGCGAGUGGCGAACGGGUGAGUAAUAUAUCGGAACGUGCCCAGUCGUGGGGGAUAACGUAGCGAAAGUUACGCUAAUACCGCAUACGAUCUACGGAUGAAAGCGGGGGAUCGCAAGACCUCGCGCGAUUGGAGCGGCCGAUAUCAGAUUAGGUAGUUGGUGGGGUAAAGGCUCACCAAGCCAACGAUCUGUAGCUGGUCUGAGAGGACGACCAGCCACACUGGGACUGAGACACGGCCCAGACUCCUACGGGAGGCAGCAGUGGGGAAUUUUGGACAAUGGACGCAAGUCUGAUCCAGCCAUUCCGCGUGCAGGACGAAGGCCUUCGGGUUGUAAACUGCUUUUGUACGGAACGAAAAAGCUCUUACUAAUACUAGGAGUCCAUGACGGUACCGUAAGAAUAAGCACCGGCUAACUACGUGCCAGCAGCCGCGGUAAUACGUAGGGUGCGAGCGUUAAUCGGAAUUACUGGGCGUAAAGCGUGCGCAGGCGGUUAUAUAAGACAGAUGUGAAAUCCCCGGGCUCAACCUGGGAACUGCAUUUGUGACUGUAUAGCUAGAGUGCGGCAGAGGGGGAUGGAAUUCCGCGUGUAGCAGUGAAAUGCGUAG